rnacentral:lncRNA from 1 species
UAUUUUAUUUGAGACAGACUCUUGUUCUGUUGCCAGGCUGGAGUGCAGUGGCACGAUCUCGGCUCACUGCAAGCUCCGCCUUCUGGGUUCACGCCAUUCUCCUGCCUCAGCCUCUCAAGUAGCUGGGACUACAGGUGCCUGCCACCACGCCAAGCUAAUUUUUUGUAUUUUUAGUAGAGACGAGGUUUCACCGUGUUAGCCAGGAUGGUCUCGAUCUCCUGACCUUGUGAUCCACCUGCCUCGGCCUCCCAAAGUGCUGGGAUUACAGGUGUGAGCCACCACUCCUGGCCGGCCAGGAUGGUCUUGAUCUACUGACCUCGUGAUCUGCCCGCCUUGGCCUCCCAAAGUGCUGGGAUUACAGGUGUGAGCCACCGUGCCCGGCCGCCUGGCUGACAUUUUCAAAGAUGGAAAGUGGAUGGAGAAUUAAGAGCUGAAAUUAUGUGUUCCCAAAAGGUGGGGCCAAAAGGCAAGUGGAAUUACCUGCCAGAGCCCCGGAGGGGCUCAGGAACUCCACCAGGACCAUGGAGGGUGAGGUGAGGCUUCGGCCAACAAUGGGGACCGAUGGAAAGUCUAUGUAAGGAUCAGUGGGGUGCCGCUCCCCCACAUCCCACCCACACCCCACCCACAUCAUGCAGCCAGCAGCUACACCUCUGGGUGGGGUGGUGUGACGUGAGGAUUAUUUGAAGGAUAAAUGGAACCAGAGAAGCUUCGGGUCUUAGGCGUACUGGGGAGGGGUGGGUGAGAGGCUAGACCAAAAAAUGGGGUUAAGUGAAAGUCCAUAGAUACUGCUGGGGGGCCUCCCAUGAAAGAACAUGCUUGACCCCCAAGAACCUUCAGAGAAACCCACCCUCUGACAGGCUCUGCCCAUGCCCACAAAGAUCUGAGCUGCUUGGCUGGUUGUUUUUGUAACAGGCAUGCUCUGUUGCUAUUUUUUAAUGACAGGAGGAACUUGGUGUACCUGGCACUUUGGGCUGCACAGACGCAUUAGCAGACUCACCUUGUCCUGUUUCAUCCCUCGCCCUCCACAAUUUCUUAUUUUCUUUCUUUCUCUUUUUAUUUUUUGAGACAGAGUUUCACUCUUGUUACCCAGGCUGGAGUGCAAUGAUGCGAUCUUGGUUCACCGAAACCUCCGCCUCCCGGGUUCAAGCGAUUCUCCUGCUGCAGCCUCUCGGUAGCUGGGAUUACAGGCAUGUGCCACCAUGCCCGGCUAAUUGUUUUUGUAUUUUUAGUAGAGACGGGGUUUCUCCAUGUUGGUCAGGCUGGUCUGGAACUCCUGACCUCAGGUGAUCCACCUGCCUCGGCCUCCCAAAGUGCCGGGAUUACAGGUAUGAGCCACUGCGCCCAGCCCACAAUAUCUUAUUUUCAUGUUUUUUUGUGUGUUUUGUUUUAUUUUUCGAGAUGGAGUCUCUCUGUUGCCCAAGCUGGAGUGCAAUGGCGCGAUCUUGGCUCACUUCCUGGGUUCAAGCGAUUCUCCUGCCUUAGCCUCCCAAGUAACUGGGAUUGCAGGCACCCACCAUCAUGCCCUGCUAAAUUUUGUACUUUUGUAGAGAUGGAGUUUCACCAUGUUGGUCAGGCUGGUCUUGAACUGCUGACCUCAGGUGAUCUGCCCACCUUGGCCUCCCAAAGUGCUGGGAUUACAGGUGUGAGCCACCAUGCCUGGACUCGUUGUUGUUGUUGUUUUUAAUUAGUGAGGAGCUACAAGAACACAUUUAUAAAAAUUAAGAGGAAACAGCCCCACUGCAUUUGAGAAGGUUACCAUUUCCUUCGAAGUUCCUGCUGUUGCCCCUUCCUGGUGGGGGAGACACUGUCCUGUUUCAGUCAUUCCGUUGCUUUGCUUUAUAGUUUUAUUAAUGUGUUUGUGUUGGCUUUGCAUGUUUUCAAAUAUAUGAAUGAAAUCAUGCAGAGUUUAUUCUUUUACAGUUUGCCUUUUCACUUGAUUAUGUUCCUGAGAUGUAUCCGGAUUAUUGUGUGUAGCUGUAUGGCAUUCCUUUUCCCUGCUGCCUAGUGAUCCAUUGAAAAUACAAUAAUUGAUUUUUCUA